rnacentral:rRNA from 1 species
CAACUCCCAAACCCUUAUGUGAACCUACCUAUCGUUGCUUCGGCGGACUCGCCCCAGCCGGACGCGGACUGGACCAGCGGCCGCCGGGGACCAUCAAACUCUUGUAUUAUCAGCAUCUUCUGAAUACGCCGCAAGGCAAAACAAAUAAAUUAAAACUUUCAACAACGGAUCUCUUGGCUCUGGCAUCGAUGAAGAACGCAGCGAAAUGCGAUAAGUAAUGUGAAUUGCAGAAUCCAGUGAAUCAUCGAAUCUUUGAACGCACAUUGCGCCCGCCAGCAUUCUGGCGGGCAUGCCUGUUCGAGCGUCAUUUCAACCCUCGACCUCCCUUUGGGGAAGUCGGCGUUGGGGACCGGCAGCACACCGCCGGCCCUGAAAUGGAGUGGCGGCCCGUCCGCGGCGACCUCUGCGUAGUAAACCAACUCGCACCGGAACCCCGACGUGGCCACGCCGUAAAACACCCAACUUCUGAACGUUGACCUCGAAUCAGGUAGGACUACCCGCUGAACUUAAGCAUAUCA